UUGCAGUUUGUUUGUAUGUUGUGAAUUACACUUAAUCAUCUUAAUAUGAAUCAUUAAUUCCUCUAAAAGCAAAAAUCCCCGUUUGUUUGUGUAAAUGAAUUCUGUAUAUGCAUGCAUUCAAUUUAAGCAUACUAUUGUAUCAACAUGAAAGUGUUUGGAUUUUAUUUCAUAGUGCUUGUAAUUCUUUGUGUAAUUACUAAUGGACUGGAUGCAACUCCACAAUAUUUUUCAUGCCGUGUAUUUUGUUUGUCCAAAAAAAUUAAGGCUACAACGCCCUGGGAAAAAAGUUGCGACUGCAUAAAGGAAUUUAGUAAACCCUAAUGUAAUAUUUAAUAAUGCUCUAAAAUAAUAAAGCAACUCCAACAAAAUUGUUAUUUAAACACA